UACAGAGGUCUCAACCGUUGUUCGGAUUCAUUGGGCGUAAAGGGUGCGUAGGCGGCGCGGUAAGUCGGGUGUGAAAUUUCGAGGCUUAACUUCGAAACUGCAUUCGAUACUGCCGUGCUUGAGGACUGGAGAGGAGACUGGAAUUUACGGUGUAGCGGUGAAAUGCGUAGAUAUCGUAAGGAAGACCAGUGGCGAAGGCGGGUCUCUGGACAGUUCCUGACGCUGAGGCACGGAGGCCAGGGGAGCAAACGGG
rnacentral:rRNA from 1 species